rnacentral:lncRNA from 1 species
GUUCACGUCUGUAUUUGGAUCAAUUACGUACGAAAAGUAACAUUUCAAGAUGAUUCGAGGCAUAUUAGAGAGGUGAGAUGCGGUAGAAACCCAAAUAAUCGACUUUUGACCCACUUUUUGGCAUGAAAACCCAUCUGAGACCCAGGAAUCAUUGACGAUCGCAAUGAAUUGAUGGUUCACGUCUGUAUUCGGAUCAAUUACGUACGAAGAGUAACAUUUCAAGAUGAUUCCAGGCAUAUUAGAGAGGUGAGAUGCGGUAGAAACCCAAAUAAUCGACUUUUGACCCACUUUUUGGCAUGAAAACCCAUCUGAGACCCAGGAAUCAUUGACGAUCGCAAUGAAUUGGUGGUUCACGUCUGUAUUCGGAUCAAUUAAGUACGAAAAGUAACAUUUCAAGAUGAUUCCAGGCAUAUUAGAGAGGUGAGAUGCGGUAGAAACCCAAAUAAUCGACUUUUGACCCACUUUUUGGCAUGAAAACCCAUCUGAGACCCAGGAAUCAUUGACGAUCGCAAUGAAUUGGUGGUUCACGUCUGUAUUCGGAUCAAUUAAGUACGAAAAGUAACAUUUCAAGAUGAUUCCAGGCAUAUUAGAGAGGUGAGAUGCGGUAGAAACCCAAAUAAUCGACUUUUGACCCACUUUUUGGCAUGAAAACCCAUCUGAGACCCAGGAAUCAUUGACGAUCGCAAUGAAUUGGUGGUUCACGUCUGUAUUCGGAUCAAUUAAGUACGAAAAGUAACAUUUCAAGAUGAUUCCAGGCAUAUUAGAGAGGUGAGAUGCGGUAGAAACCCAAAUAAUCGACUUUUGACCCACUUUUUGGCAUGAAAACCCAUCUGAGACCCAGGAAUCAUUGACGAUCGCAAUGAAUUGGUGGUUCACGUCUGUAUUCGGAUCAAUUAAGUACGAAAAGUAACAUUUCAAGAUGAUUCCAGGCAUAUUAGAGAGGUGAGAUGCGGUAGAAACCCAAAUAAUCGACUUUUGACCCACUUUUUGGCAUGAAAACCCAUCUGAGACCCAGGAAUCAUUGACGAUCGCAAUGAAUUGGUGGUUCACGUCUGUAUUCGGAUCAAUUAAGUACGAAAAGUAACAUUUCAAGAUGAUUCCAGGCAUAUUAGAGAGGUGAGAUGCGGUAGAAACCCAAAUAAUCGACUUUUGACCCACUUUUUGGCAUGAAAACCCAUCUGAGACCCAGGAAUCAUUGACGAUCGCAAUGAAUUGAUGGUUCACGUCUGUAUUCGGAUCAAUUACGUACAAAAAGUAACAUUUCAAGAUGAUUCAGGGCAUAGUAGAGAGGUGAGGUGCGGUAGAAACCCAAAUAAUCGACUUUUGACCCACUUUUUGGCAUGAAAACCCCUCUGAGACCCAGGAAUCAUUAACGAUCGCAAUGAAUUGAUGGUUCACGUCUGUAUUCGGAUCAAUUAGGUGCGAAAAGUAACAUUUCAAUAUGAAACUGGGUCUAGGCAUACUUUCCAUUUCUGCAGAAGAAGUCACCGGUAGAGGUUGCGAUCCUAAUUCCUAUUAACAAAAACAACGCAUAAUUUUUAGGUCAUAUUCAUAUUUAUUCAAUAGUUCAAUAUUUAUUAUCAAUCAUACGUGUGCGGUGAAAAAGCCGGUCGGUAUGACUAAUGUAUAUGAAAUGUGCGCAGUUUGAAUAUGUUUAGAGGGAUUUGAGUUAGCCUUAGUUUCUCAAGGGUAUUACUAAAAAUAGGGUUUUGCUAUUGCAAAUAUGAUUUUUUAAUCAAUCAACAACUAACUUAACUAUAUAGAUAUCGCCUAUUGAGACACAACAAUUUUCUCACUGAAGCUUCAACCGCUGCGCUGGUAGGAAUGCACACUUACCUUAUUUUUUUAAGUUGAAGGUCGUAAUCAUAAAUUAAUUUCUUAUCAGAAAUGUAAUUAAAUGUUUUACUAAUUUUAUAAAAAAUUGAUUUUCAGUAUCCCCGAGGUAGUUAUUAAUAUAGUAUCCUAAAUUCAAAUUCACUCAUUAUAAACACUUUUUUUAAAGAUAAUGUUUAUAUAGUGUAUUAUAUGAAACUCCUUGUAUAUUUAUUAAUAUAAAUGUACGAUAAUUAAUCCUUACCCGUAACAGCCCGAUCCAGUACAUUUCGCACACAUUAUAAAUAAUAUAACCAUAUCGAGCGGGUUUAUUGUGAGAUUCUCACAGCAACUAAACGUGCUAACAAGAAGAAUAAUGCCACAGUCAUUUUCGGUUUGAAUUUCGCGUUAAACUGUUUACAGUGGCAUUUAGCUCUUUUUUGGUAUUUAUACAUAAUUGUUUAUAAAUAGUUGGUUGGUCGGUCGGUCGGCAUAUUAUACGGUUUAGGAAUUUAAAUAUAUACAAAUAAAAUGAUAAUAAACUUUACAGAGACGUGCAUUCAAUAGUGUCAUAAUAACAUCGUAACUGAAUAAGUAAGGAGGCGACGAGAAAUCGACCUCCUUUAAAUGAAAUAAUAUAGGAAAAUUUUAAAAUGAAAUAAGUACACUAGUUAUAGGCUGUUUCGAGUCAUUUUAAUCAUAAUUUAAUUUUCGUGUAUUUUUUUUUAUAAUUUUUAUCUGAACAAUUCAAUAGAGCUUUAAUUCCUGGUUUCAUUAAUACCAAAUACCUCCAGCUAUCUCCAAUAGUUUAGGAGAUAUUUGGGAAAAACAUUUGGUCCUUCGAGCCGGAUUUUAGACUAAAAUCCAUAUUUUCCGAAACUCACUGAUAGUAACACUACAUAGUGUUCAUUUUUGUUGAAAUAGCUUAAAAUAUUCUUAAUCUGUUACGCCACUGGAAAGGUUCCAGCAAACCCUUUAAUGGGCCACAUCUGUUUUAUACAUUUUUGCCUCUUAAAAUUUACUUUUGUUGACAAUAAAGUUAGUCUAUGUUUAGAAACCAACGUGUGCGUUUUAUUUCAAUAAUUUUAAUCAGCAUUUAAUUUUCUAUCCCAGUAGUUAAAAAUCUGGACAAUUUUUUUAUUAAGUGCCUGGAAAAUAGUUUUUAAUUAAACAGUCCGAUGGA